UCAUUUCCGCCAACGAGCCGUUGACGCAUGCUAAGCGUUGUUAGCAGCUAAGGAGCGAGGCGUGGAUGGACAGAAAGAAACGCCGCCAGGAAAAAGGCAAAAAAGCGUCAACAUCUUGGAAUAAUUUUAAACUAAAAAGAGAAAUAACAUAGCUCAAUGUGUGGACUAUAAAACUGAAAUCGCGUUGACACGUCCUCGACACCUCAACAGGAAACACCCACUACGUGCUUCCGGCUCGCUAAUGGCUGCUAACAGUGGGAGCUGCAGCGUUGACGCUGUGGAUUGUAUCUGCAGUUCGCUUCAGAUGAAAAUAAUCCCCUCUCCCAGACCCGCCGGCUUUUGCCCCUUGAAGGAGCACAAGUCUUUGAUAACGACGACAUGUUUUAGAAGAGUGGCCCCCCAUCCUCCCAUCCUCCUCCAGCUCCUUCCUAAACUCCUAAUAAAUAGCUUCAAACAUAAGAGAUCCCAAAUCAGCUCUUUGAGCGAAAAGGAAGCAUUGCAAGACCAUGAGAUCAACCCCUGGAUUAUUCUUCCCCCGGCUGAAAAGCAGCGCUCUCCAGCCCUCGCCCGGCUAUAAUACCCAUUGGUUGCCACAAGGAACGCUAUUUGGAUUAAGUGGUGCCCCUUUCAUGCAAGCAACAAGUGACAAAGGGGGAGAUUGGGCAACUAACCUGCUGUUUAGAUAAAUAAAGGUACUCUAUCAGCUCUAA